rnacentral:rRNA from 1 species
UGGGGAAUUUUGGACAAUGGGGGCAACCCUGAUCCAGCAAUGCCGCGUGUGUGAAGAAGGCCUUCGGGUUGUAAAGCACUUUUGUCCGGAAAGAAAACGCCGUGGUUAAUACCCGUGGCGGAUGACGGUACCGGAAGAAUAAGCACCGGCUAACUACGUGCCAGCAGCCGCGGUAAUACGUAGGGUGCAAGCGUUAAUCGGAAUUACUGGGCGUAAAGCGUGCGCAGGCGGUCCGCUAAGACAGAUGUGAAAUCCCCGGGCUUAACCUGGGAACUGCAUUUGUGACUGGCGGGCUAGAGUAUGGCAGAGGGGGGUAGAAUUCCACGUGUAGCAGUGAAAUGCGUAGAGAUGUGGAGGAAUACCGAUGGCGAAGGCAGCCCCCUGGGCCAAUACUGACGCUCAUGCACGAAAGCGUGGGGAGCAAACAGGAUUAGAUACCCUGGUAGUCCACGCCCUAAACGAUGUCAACUAGUUGUCGGGUCUUCAUUGACUUGGUAACGUAGCUAACGCGUGAAGUUGACCGCCUGGGGAGUACGGUCGCAAGAUUAAAAACUUAAAGG